UUACGGCGAUAUCACAAUCAAAACACCGGUUCUCAUACGAUCAGCGAUGUUAGGCAAUGUCGAGCUUGGUCAGUACCUAGAUGGGUGACCACC